rnacentral:rRNA from 1 species
GACGAACGCUGGCGGCGUGCUUAACACAUGUAAGUCGAACGGAAAGGCCUGCUUUCCCUUGUGGAUUGCGGGUACUCGCGUGGCGAACGGGUGAGUAACACGUGAGUGAUCUGCCCCCAACUUGGGUAUAAGCCUGGGAAACUGGGUCUAAUUCCCGAUAGGACUGCAGGGUGGUGCCUGUGGUGGAAAACGAUUUUCUAGUGGUUGGGGAUGAGCUCGCGGCCUAUCAGAUGGUUGGUGGGGUAAUGGCCGACCAGGGCGGCGACGGGUAGCCGGCCUGAGAGGGUGGACGGCCGCAUUGGGACUGAGAUACGGCCCAGACUCCUACGGGAGGCAGCAGUGGGGAAUAUUGCACAAUGGGCGGAAGCCUGAUGCAGCGACGCCGCGUGGGGGAUGCCGGCCUUCGGGUUGUAAACUCCUUUCGACCGCGAGGAAGCCACCUGGUUGGAAGGGUGGUGACGGUAGUGGUAGAAGAAGCACCGGCUAACUACGUG